rnacentral:rRNA from 1 species
UGGGGAAUUUUGGACAAUGGGGGCAACCCUGAUCCAGCCAUGCCGCGUGCAGGAUGAAGGUCUUCGGAUUGUAAACUGCUUUUGUCAGGGACGAAAAGGACUGUGUUAAUACCAUAGUCUGCUGACGGUACCUGAAGAAUAAGCACCGGCUAACUACGUGCCAGCAGCCGCGGUAAUACGUAGGGUGCAAGCGUUAAUCGGAAUUACUGGGCGUAAAGCGUGCGCAGGCGGUUCUGUAAGACAGAUGUGAAAUCCCCGGGCUUAACCUGGGAAUUGCAUUUGUGACUGCAGGACUAGAGUUCAUCAGAGGGGGGUGGAAUUCCAAGUGUAGCAGUGAAAUGCGUAGAUAUUUGGAAGAACACCAAUGGCGAAGGCAGCCCCCUGGGAUGCGACUGACGCUCAUGCACGAAAGCGUGGGGAGCAAACAGGAUUAGAUACCCUGGUAGU